UAUUCAUUUACACCCCAGAGUUCUAUCUUCACGUCACUGUGGGAAGUUUUAGGGGCGUGCAACAACAACAUCAACAUGGCUGUCACUAUUGUGCUCAAUCUCCGCAAGGAUUUACUUCAACAAAACCAAGGGAUAUCUGUGGAUGGAAGUUUGGCUCCACUACAUCGCACCUGGGAGCUUGAAAAUACGUUCAAUAAAACAUAGACUCAAACCGGACGAUUUAAGGAAAAUAAUUGAAGAGAACGAAUCGUGGUUACUGAAAACCUCAAGAAGAUGGCUUCAGAAGAGUGAGAUGCCGUAUCCUGGAUACUGCCGAGCCCCUGGAAGUGGAAAAUGCUCGCCUGUUCUAUGCAAUUGCGAGAAACUUACUGAAAUAUGGAAAAAAUUAAAGAAAAAUAAUCUUACAUACCACAAAAAGAUCCUAAUGUAACAUUAAAAUAAAUGAUAUAUUAUGAUUAUUAUAA